GUGCUCGCUUUGGCAGCACAUAUACUAAAAUUGGAAUGAUACAGAGAAGAUGAGCAUGGCCCCUGUGCAAGGAGGACAUGCAAAUUCGUGAAGCGUUACGUAUUUUU